rnacentral:rRNA from 1 species
AGAGUUUGAUCCUGGCUCAGGAUGAACGCUAGCGGCAGGCUUAACACAUGCAAGUCGAGGGGCAGCGGGGAGGAAGCUUGCUUUCUCCGCCGGCGACCGGCGCACGGGUGAGUAACACGUAUGCAACCUGCCCCUGUCAGGGGGACAACCCGCCGAAAGGCGGGCUAAACCCGCGUACAUGCCACCGGGGCAUCCCGGAGGCAGGAAAGGCUUCGGCCGGACAGGGAUGGGCAUGCGGCGCAUUAGGCAGUAGGCGGGGUAACGGCCCACCUAACCGACGAUGCGUAGGGGUUCUGAGAGGAAGGUCCCCCACACUGGUACUGAGACACGGACCAGACUCCUACGGGAGGCAGCAGUGAGGAAUAUUGGUCAAUGGUCGGGAGACUGAACCAGCCAAGCCGCGUGAGGGAAGAAGGUACAGAGUAUCGUAAACCUCUUUUGUCAGGGAACAAAGGCGGGGACGUGUCCCCGGAUGAGUGUACCUGAAGAAAAAGCAUCGGCUAACUCCGUGCCAGCAGCCGCGGUAAUACGGAGGAUGCGAGCGUUAUCCGGAUUUAUUGGGUUUAAAGGGUGCGCAGGCGGUCUGUUAAGUCAGCGGUCAAAGCCCGGGGCUCAACCCCGGCCCGCCGUUGAAACUGGCAGUCUCGAGUUGGAGAGAAGUAUGCGGAAUGCGCGGUGUAGCGGUGAAAUGCAUAGAUAUCGCGCAGAACUCCGAUUGCGAAGGCAGCAUGCCGGCUCCACACUGACGCUGAGGCACGAAAGCGUGGGUAUCGAACAGGAUUAGAUACCCUGGUAGUCCACGCAGUAAACGAUGAAUGCUGGCUGUCCGGGGGGACUGACCCCUGGGUGGCGAAGCGAAAGCGAUAAGCAUUCCACCUGGGGAGUACGCCGGCAACGGUGAAACUCAAAGGAAUUGACGGGGGCCCGCACAAGCGGAGGAACAUGUGGUUUAAUUCGAUGAUACGCGAGGAACCUUACCCGGGCUCAAACGGGGAGUGGCGCAGGCAGAGACGCCUGUUUCCCACGGGACACUCCCCGAGGUGCUGCAUGGUUGUCGUCAGCUCGUGCCGUGAGGUGUCGGCUUAAGUGCCAUAACGAGCGCAACCCCCGCGUGCAGUUGCUAACAGUCAACGCUGAGGACUCUGCACGGACUGCCGGCGCAAGCCGCGAGGAAGGCGGGGAUGACGUCAAAUCAGCACGGCCCUUACGUCCGGGGCGACACACGUGUUACAAUGGGUGGUACAGCGGGAAGCCAGGCGGCGACGCCGAGCGGAACCCGAAAUCCACUCUCAGUUCGGAUCGGAGUCUGCAACCCGACUCCGUGAAGCUGGAUUCGCUAGUAAUCGCGCAUCAGCCAUGGCGCGGUGAAUACGUUCCCGGGCCUUGCACACACCGCCCGUCAAG